UCCCUCUACACCUACCCAGGGAACGAGAGUCUGGGUUCCGUCUAACAGCCAGGAGGCUAUGCUUUCGCUGGGCGGCUAAAUCAGGUUUAGUGGGGACUAAUCCACCCUCACCCCACCACACCACCUUCACC